rnacentral:misc_RNA from 1 species
CCGAGUUAGGGUUCGUCCAACGAGCCCGACCUCCCAACCCUUUGUCUAAUUUACCUUGUCGUUGCUUCGGCGGACCGGUCGCGAUCAACUGGUCGAGGCCGCCGGGGGUCUACCCUUGGAGAGCGUCCGCCGAUGGCCCAACCACAAACUCUUGUACUAAACCAUGUCGUCUGAAUUACUUGAUUAAAAUCAAAAACA